CCUACGGGAGGCUGCAGUGAGGAAUAUUGGUCAAUGGACGAGAGUCUGAACCAGCCAAGUAGCGUGAAGGAUGACUGCCCUAUGGGUUGUAAACUUCUUUUAUAUGGGAAUAAAAUGUUCCACGUGUGGGAUUUUGUAUGUACCAUAUGAAUAAGGAUCGGCUAACUCCGUGCCAGCAGCCGCGGUAAUACGGAGGAUCCGAGCGUUAUCCGGAUUUAUUGGGUUUAAAGGGAGCGUAGGUGGAUUGUUAAGUCAGUUGUGAAAGUUUGCGGCUCAACCGUAAAAUUGCAGUUGAAACUGGCAGUCGUGAGUACAGUAGAGGUGUGCGGAAUUCGUGGUGUAGCGGUGAAAUGCUUAGAUAUCACGAAGAACUCCGAUUGCGAAGGCAGCUCACUGGACUGCAACUGACACUGAGGCUCGAAAGUGUGGGUAUCAAACAGGAUUAGAUACCCCAGUAGUC
rnacentral:rRNA from 1 species